rnacentral:sRNA from 1 species
GCUGGGUGUGAUGGCAUACACCUGUAAUCCCAGCAGCUAGGGAGGCUGAGGCAGGAGGAUUGCAAGUUCAAAGCCAGCCUAAGCAAAAGAGAGGCAUUAAGGGACUCAGUGGGACCCUUUCUCUA